GACGAACGCUGGCGGCGUGCUUAACACAUGCAAGUCGAACGGAAAGGCCCUGCUUUUGUGGGGUGCUCGAGUGGCUAACGGGUGAGUAACACGUGAGUAACCUUCCCUUUACUUUGGGAUAACUUCAGGAAACUGGGGCUAAUACCGGAUAGGAGCUCCUGCUUCAUGGUGGGGGUUGGAAAGUUUCGGCGGUUGGGGAUGGACUCGCGGCUUAUCAGCUUGUUGGUGGGGUAGUGGCUUACCAAGGCUUUGACGGGUAGCCGGCCUGAGAGGGUGACCGGCCACAUUGGGACUGAGAUACGGCCCAGACUCCUACGGGAGGCAGCAGUGGGGAAUAUUGCACAAUGGGCGGAAGCCUGAUGCAGCAACGCCGCGUGCGGGAUGACGGCCUUCGGGUUGUAAACCGCUUUCGCCUGUGACGAAGCGUGAGUGACGGUAAUGGGUAAAGAAGCACCGGCUAACUACGUG
rnacentral:rRNA from 1 species